ACUCUGCAUUUUAGUGUUAUUGUUGCAUCUAUGCCAAUGAUGAUUUGAUCCAUGUUACUGAGGUGUAGUGGAACUAAGACCCUGUUUUACAGGGUGAACCUACUUGGGGAAGCUGCAUUUCACAUGAAAUUAAUGGAUUUAACUGAGG